UCUGAAAUAUUUCAGUUGGUAGAGCGUCAGACUAGAAAUCGAAAGGUCCUUGGUUCAGUCCCGGGUUCCGGCA
rnacentral:tRNA from 1 species